rnacentral:rRNA from 1 species
GACGAACGCUGGCGGCGUGCUUAACACAUGCAAGUCGAACGGAAAGGCCCUGCUUUUGUGGGGUGCUCGAGUGGCGAACGGGUGAGUAACACGUGAGUAACCUGCCCUUGACUUUGGGAUAACUUCAGGAAACUGGAGCUAAUACCGGAUAGGAUCUCCUGCUGCAUGGUGGGGGUUGGAUAGUUUCGGCGGUUGGGGAUGGACUCGCGGGUUAUCAGCUUGUUGGUUGGGUAGUGGCUUACCAAGGCUUUGACGGGUAGCCGGCCUGAGUGGGUGACCGGCGACAUUGGGACUGAGAUACGGCCCAGACGCCUACGGGAGGCAGUGGUGGGGAGUAGUGCACAGUGGGCGGAAGCCUGAUGCAGCAACGCCGCGUGCGGGAAGACGGCCUUUGGGUUAUAAACCGCUUUCGCCUGAGACGACGCGUUAGUGACGGUAAUGGGUAAAGAAGCACCGGCUAACUACGUG